UAAUAACAGCGUCAGUGUUGAUUAUACCCA
rnacentral:piRNA from 1 species